rnacentral:rRNA from 1 species
CUUCCGCUACAACACAUGCAGUCGACGGGAGUAGCAAUACUUUUAGUGGCGGACGGGUGAGUAACGCGUGAGAAUCUGCCUUCAGGAUGGGAAUAACACCGGGAAACGGGUGCUAAGUCCCAAUGUGCCGAGAGGUGAAAGGGCCUUAGGGUCUGCCUGGAGAGGAGCUCGCGUCCGAUUAGUUAGUUGGCGGGGUAAGAGCCCACCAAGACAGCGAUCGGUAGCUGGUCUGAGAGGACGAGCAGCCACACUGGAACUGAGAAACGGUCCAGACUCCUACGGGAGGCAGCAGUGGGGAAUUUUCCGCAAUGGGCGAAAGCCUGACGGAGCAAGACCGCGUGUGGGAAGAAGGCCUUUGGGUCGUAAACCACUUUAAUCAGGGAAGAAGUCAGUGACGGUACCUGAAGAAAAAGCCUCGGCUAACUCCGUGCCAGCAGCCGCGGUAAUACGGAGGAGGCAAGCGUUAUCCGGAAUCAUUGGGCGUAAAGAGUCCGUAGGUGGCCUCAAAAGUCUGCUGUCAAAGCCUUGGGCUAAACCGAAGAGAGGCAGUGGAAACUAGGAAGCUAGAGUGCGGUAGGGGUAGAGGGAAUUCCCGGUGUAGCGGUGAAAUGCGUAGAGAUCGGGAAGAACACCAGUGGCGAAAGCGCUCUACUGGGCCUGCACUGACACUGAGGGACGAAAGCUAGGGGAGCGAAUGGGAUUAGAUACCCCAGUAGUCCUAGCCGUAAACGAUGGAAACUAGGUGUAGCCCGUAUCGACCCGGGCUGUACCGGAGCUAACGCGUUAAGUUUCCCGCCUGGGGAGUACGCUCGCAAGAGUGAAACUCAAAGGAAUUGACGGGGGCCCGCACAAGCGGGUGGAGUAUGUGGGUUUAAUUCGAUGCAACGCGAAGAACCCUUACCAGGGCAAGACAACUUUCGGAGUCUGGGGGAAACUCAGAUGUGCCCUUUAGGGGAACCCGGAGAGCAAGUGUGCAUGGCUGUCGUCAGGCUCGUGUCGUGAGAUGUUGGGGCUAAGGUUCCGGCAACCGAGCGCAUCCCUCGUGCUAGGCGCCAGUCCCGAAACGA